ACUUCUUAGAGGGACAGAGGGUGUCUAGCCCUACGAGAUUGAGCAAUAACAGGUCUGUGAUGCCCUUAGAUGUUCGGGGCUGCACGCGCGCUACACUGAAGGAAUCAACGAGCAUGAAAACCUUGUCCGGAAGGACUGGGUAAACCGUUGAAACUCCUUCGUGCUUGGGAUAGGGACUUGCAAUUAUUUCCCUUGAACGAGGAAUUCCUAGUAAGUGUGGGUCAUCAUCUCGCGUUGAUUACGUCCCUGCCCUUUGUACUGAGCG
rnacentral:rRNA from 35 species